rnacentral:tRNA from 1 species
AGCCGGCCUAGCUCAAUUGGUAGAGCAACUGACUUGUAAUCAGAGGGUCAGAGGUUCGAAUCCUCUAUGGCUC